rnacentral:rRNA from 1 species
CUGGCUCAGAUUGAACGCUGGCGGCAGGCUUAACACAUGCAAGUCGAGCGGAGAGAGGUAGCUUGCUACUGAUCUUAGCGGCGGACGGGUGAGUAAUACUUAGGAAUCUGGCUAUUAGUGGGGGACAACAUUUCGAAAGGGAUGCUAAUACCGCAUACGUCCUACGGGAGAAAGCAGGGGAUCUUCGGACCUUGCGCUAAUAGAUGAGCCUAAGUCGGAUUAGCUAGUUGGUGGGGUAAAGGCCUACCAAGGCGACGAUCUGUAGCGGGUCUGAGAGGAUGAUCCGCCACACUGGGACUGAGACACGGCCCAGACUCCUACGGGAGGCAGCAGUGGGGAAUAUUGGACAAUGGGGGGAACCCUGAUCCAGCCAUGCCGCGUGUGUGAAGAAGGCCUUAUGGUUGUAAAGCACUUUAAGCGAGGAGGAGGGUACUGGUAUUAAUACUACCAGGUACUGGACGUUACUCGCAGAAUAAGCACCGGCUAACUCUGUGCCAGCAGCCGCGGUAAUACAGAGGGUGCGAGCGUUAAUCGGAUUUACUGGGCGUAAAGCGUGCGUAGGCGGCUAAUUGAGUCGGAUGUGAAAUCCCCGAGCUUAACUUGGGAAUUGCAUUCGAUACUGGUUAGCUAGAGUGUGGGAGAGGAUGGUAGAAUUCCAGGUGUAGCGGUGAAAUGCGUAGAGAUCUGGAGGAAUACCGAUGGCGAAGGCAGCCAUCUGGCCUAACACUGACGCUGAGGUACGAAAGCAUGGGGAGCAAACAGGAUUAGAUACCCUGGUAGUCCAUGCCGUAAACGAUGUCUACUAGCCGUUGGUCUCUUUGAGGGAUUAGUGGCGCAGCUAACGCGAUAAGUAGACCGCC